AACAUCAAUCGCGGAUUCACCCUUCAUAUGGAAGUCUGUAUUGCUACUCCAGGCUAUACUGAUCGGAGGUUCAUAAGUGAAUGUAUGCGUAGAGAGACCAUUAAGUUGGAGCACGUUUCUGGGCGCCUGGUGUUGACAUCUACGUGGAACACUGGGAAUCAGUUGUGACUAUAGCC
rnacentral:snoRNA from 1 species